rnacentral:rRNA from 1 species
UACGGGGGGAGCAAGCGUUGUUCGGAUUUACUGGGCGUAAAGGGCGCGUAGGCGGGCGCAACAAGUCACUUGUGAAAUCUCCGGGCUUAACUCGGAAAGGUCAAGUGAUACUGUUGUGCUAGAGUGGCGGAAGGGGCAACUGGAAUUCUCGGUGUAGCGGAUGAAAUGCGUAGAUAUCAAGAGGGAACACCUGCGGCGAAGGCGGGUUGCUGGGCUGACACUGACGCUGAUGCGCGAAAGCCAGGGGAGGCGAACGGG